GUUCUCGACAGGCAACAAAGAUCCAAGGAAGAACAAACAGAAGAUCUCCUCGUGCACCUGGGGCUGCUAUAACGCAGCGUCUGCCAGUAAAUUCACCAUAAGCGGUUUGCUGUGGUGUUACUGGACUUUGAGGAUUGAGGAGAGCGCUGCGGGGAUCAGCAUUGUUUGGAGGACGCCCACUGACCUUCUUGACCUCGUACUUGAUGGCCAGCUUGACGCGGCUUAGCAAAGCUCGUGUCGUAGGAAGCUGGCAAGAAACAUGGCGGACGUGCAGAUGAAGAGCGGAUCGGGCUUGCCUCUGACAGCUAAAGAAUGGAGCGCGACAGCAGCAGGACGCGAAGGCCAUCAGCGGGAACCCGUGUCUGUCCCAAAACAAGCAGUUGGAGCAGGAAUCUAUAUCAGGAAGCCACUUUACCAGCCCAUUUCAAGAAGUCAAAUCCAUGACUGAUUUAUUGACUCCAUCUUCGGAGGCACAGACACUUUCAAACUCAAUUGAUAGAGGCUUUUAAAGCAUUUGAAGCCAUUUUAAGCCAUCCUGUAGGCAUACUCAUUAGCCACCACAAUGCUAGCAACAAAAGUGUCCUUAAACAUUAUUACUAAUAAGCUCAGUGGACAGAGGUUUUGCAGACUUUUUUUUUUGGUGACAUGUUGUGUUUAGGUUUUGAAUAUUAUGGGAUGUACUUGUAUUGAUGGUUUCUUCUUAGCAAAGAUCUGUACUGGUGCUACCAUAGAAUACUAUAUGGAUUGUGCUGUCAGUGUGAAGCACGCUAUACAAUCAGUGUGAGGUACGCUAUACAGUGUGAGGUACGCAAUACAAUCACGAACACAGUAUGUCUGCCUCCCUCAUGGAACCUCGAUCUUUACACCUCACACCUCCUGCGUCCUAAAAUCCAACAAAUGACUAACCACAGACAGCCUCUCCCCAUUUACCUCAUUACUAAACUCCCACUGGUUACCUUACAAACAUUCUACUGCACCGCAAAAUCAUUGGCUGUUUUUUUUCCAGCAAGUAAAAACACAAAGAGGAUUUUUGAUGAAGAACCAGGGAGAGGAUGUUCCACUAUGCCAGACAUUAAAAAUAAGCGGCAAAGGCAAUCAGAAAUUAGACAGAUGCCCCUACUACAUGCCCAAAAAUGUGAUCUAUCUAAUUUCCAGAGGUGCUGAUGGAAACUGCCCGCUUUAAAAACUGAUUAUAGAUGGAUGAUGAUUCAUGAAAAAGGAAAAUUAAAACCUGGACACUGACAAUGCAGUGCUGAGGCCGCGUGGAAAAUAGAAACGUGAAAUCGCAUAUCUCCAUCAUAAA